rnacentral:rRNA from 1 species
AAGUGGGGGACCUUCGGGCCUCACGCUUUUGGAGCGGCCUAUGUCCGAUUAGCUAGUUGGUGAGGUAAAGGCUCACCAAGGCGACGAUCGGUAGCUGGUCUGAGAGGAUGAUCAGCCACACUGGGACUGAGACACGGCCCAGACUCCUACGGGAGGCAGCAGUGGGGAAUUUUGGACAAUGGGCGCAAGCCUGAUCCAGCCAUUCCGCGUGGGUGAAGAAGGCCUUCGGGUUGUAAAGCCCUUUUGUCAGGGAGCAAAUCCUGCGUGUGAAUAAUGCGCGGGGAUGAGAGUACCUGAAGAAUAAGCACCGGCUAACUACGUG